GUUUACGGCCAUCCCACCCUGAACACACCCAAUCUCGUCUGAUCUCAGAAGCUAAGCUGGGUUGGGCCUGGUUAGUACUUGGAUGGGAGAAAUUUAUUUAACCAAUCCACCCUGACCA
ensembl:rRNA 5S_rRNA 5S ribosomal RNA